rnacentral:lncRNA from 10 species
ACACAAAUUAAUCCACUCAAAUGUUGGCAAGUGGAGCAGAGUCCCAGGACAGGUACAGAAACACCCCCAGUUCAAGGAUCUUCACACCUGGAUUUAGGCCUACACCUGCAACUACCCCAGAUGGAGCCAUCUCAGCCAUGACAACAGAGAAUGUACCACUCUCACGUGAGGAAGAGGGGUAGGCAGUGCUCCUGUAUCACCAGCUGUUAAUGAGACCCUGAGGAAACCACAUCAUGGAGAUCAGCCCUUCUCUCCUGUAAGGAACUCAUCCUAUGAAAGAGCAAUUGGUGGCUGCAAGAGCUGUCUCUGGGACAGCUGUUCAUGUCUAUAUCUGCAGGGUAACCCUCAUAGUCAUAUGCAGUCAUAUCCAUAGUCAUAUCUGGAGUCAGUCUCCAGUUUGACUGAGUGAAUGGAGAAACUAAACAUUUAUUACUGAAUAAUAACAUUAAUAAACCAUCUUAAUGAUAGUAAUAAUAAACAUAUUGAUGAGUAUUAA